rnacentral:rRNA from 1 species
GACGAACUCUGGCGGCGUGCCUAAUACAUGCAAGUCGAGCGGACCGGAUUGGGGCUUGCCUUGAUUCGGUCAGCGGCGGACGGGUGAGUAACACGUGGGCAACCUGCCCGCAAGACCGGGAUAACUCCGGGAAACCGGAGCUAAUACCGGAUAACACCGAAGACCGCAUGGUCUUCGGUUGAAAGGCGGCCUUUGGGCUGUCACUUGCGGAUGGGCCCGCGGCACAUUAGCUAGUUGGUGAGGUAACGGCUCACCAAGGCGACGAUGCGUAGCCGGCCUGAGAGGGUGACCGGCCACACUGGGACUGAGACACGGCCCAGACUCCUACGGGAGGCAGCAGUAGGGAAUCUUCCGCAAUGGGCGAAAGCCUGACGGAGCGACGCCGCGUGAGCGAAGAAGGCCUUCGGGUCGUAAAGCUCUGUUGUGAGGGACGAAGGAGCGCCGUUCGAAGAGGGCGGCGCGGUGACGGUACCUCACGAGAAAGCCCCGGCUAACUACGUGCCAGCCGCCGCCGUAA